rnacentral:rRNA from 1 species
UACGUAGGGAGCAAGCGUUGUCCGGAAUCAUUGGGCGUAAAGAGCGCGUAGGCGGCCCAGUAAGUCCGUUCUGAAAGUCGGAGGCUCAACCUCCGAAAGCGGAUGGAUACUGCUGGGCUAGAGUCCGGAAGAGGCGAGUGGAAUUCCUGGUGUAGCGGUGGAAUGCGCAGAUAUCAGGAGGAACACCAACGGCGAAGGCAGCUCGCUGGGACGGUACUGACGCUGAGGCGCGAAAGCGUGGGGAGCGAACAGG